rnacentral:rRNA from 1 species
CCUACGGGAGGCAGCAGUGGGGGAUAUUGCACAAUGGGGGGAACCCUGAUGCAGCGACGCCGCGUGGGUGAAGAAGCGCCUCGGCGCGUAAAGCCCUGUCAGCAGGGAAGAAAAUGACGGUACCUGAAGAAGAAGCCCCGGCUAACUACGUGCCAGCAGCCGCGGUAAUACGUAGGGGGCAAGCGUUAUCCGGAAUUACUGGGCGUAAAGGGUGCGUAGGUGGUUUCUUAAGUCAGAGGUGAAAGGCUACGGCUCAACCGUAGUAAGCCUUUGAAACUGGGAAACUUGAGUGCAGGAGAGGAGAGUGGAAUUCCUAGUGUAGCGGUGAAAUGCGUAGAUAUUAGGAGGAACACCAGUUGCGAAGGCGGCUCUCUGGACUGUAACUGACACUGAGGCACGAAAGCGUGGGGAGCAAACAGGAUUAGAUACCCUAGUAGUC